CAACUCAAUAUGAAAAUGGCUGCAAACAGAGGCAAAACUAUACAACCAUACAUCUUUGAAAAGCAAUAGUGAAGCCUCCUGCACAACUAACCAGAAUGCAGCAAGUCAACAACUAAACUCUUGACUUUUCCAGCAGCCAUUGUACAGACUAAAACCAGCUGACCAACCGCUGGAGAUCAGCUGGGUUGCUAGGUGACGGCGUGGCGCCCGCUGAACGUGACUCAUCAGUAGUUUUAGACAUAAAACCCGCCACCGAAUCGCCAGAAAUCACUCAGCUGUUUUGCUUCUUAGAAGCAUAAAAAUAUUAAAAUGUGAAUUCUGCGUAAUGUUUCACCACUGAAGCUGCAAUAAACCGUUUUCAUGGUGGGAAGUUUUCCAUGGAUCAGGAAUACUAAUUUAGCGGUUUUCCUAUAUUAAGAGUGUUGGUCACUUCCUGUUGGUCACUUCCUGUUGUGAGGGGUUUAAUGGCUGCUGCUGAACCGCCUGCUGGUGUCGCCCCUGAUCCGUUUCACUGCAGUCCAGUUUCUGGUACCAGGAACGUUUGGGUCUUUCACAUGUGGAAAGCUUUUUCUGGCUCUCAGGUUCUGAAAGCCCAGCCGAUGUAGAGCGGUCCGUUUCAAAGCCGCAGCUCAGAUUGAAGCGAGGUUAUGUUGAGAGAGCAUCAGCAGUCAGCAGCUGCAGGUUUGCACCGAUUGGACAGAAUCUUUAUUUUAAGGUGGAUUUAAUCCAUCCAACCAGAAACUGCCUGAUUCAUUUGAUAAAACUCUUCAACUUUACCAACAGAUAUUCAUGGAGGGUUUAAAACGAAACAAAGAAAAAAAUGGGUUAACUCUAAUCAGUCGAUUGUUUAUGAUGUCACACAGCACUCACUUCCAUAAACUUAAGAUCUCAAAAAUGUUUUUACAAGCAUGGAAACUCUCAUCUAGUUCUUACAGAUGUUUUUCAGUCAACUUCAGAAACUCAGAACCAAUAAAAUCCAGUUGGAUUAAAUAUAAUUUUGGACUUUGGAUCCUGAAUUUUGGCUUGUUCUGCUCACCAACACGUUUAAUUUGGACUCCUGAGGGAGAGACUCCCCCUGCUGGCCAACCUGAGUAAGCAGACAGGUGGAUAUCAGAACCAACAACCAGAACAAACCAGAACAUUUAACCCACAUGGAGCCCGACCCGUUUCAGCAGAACCUCCAGACUCCGGGAACCUCGGCCCGGAUCUGAAGGGCUGGGCGCCUCCAGUAGCUCCACAGGGAACUGUUCCCUCACCGUUUGGGUUUUGAAAAUAAAUUCACUUAAUAAAACGCCAAUUUAGAAAAAAACCUAAUGUUUUGACAAAACAUAUUGUGGGGACCUGGUGUGUUUUUGGCACUUUCAAAAUUAGUGUAUUUUGCAAAACUGCAAAGGAAACAUUUUUUUUGCCUCACCAGUCACAUGACCAACAACAGGAUGUUACUACUGCUGGAAACCUCGAAGAGGAAAACAGAAAGUGGUUGGGGGAAGAUAGUGCUGCGUAUAUUUUAAUUACUUAUGUGAACAAACGUAUUCAUGUGAUUUUAAUUGUGUCUCUUACUUAAUGGAAACACAACAAUUGUAAAAUAAUUUUUUAGCAAAAUACUAACUGAACUCAGCUGCUGUCAGAACAGCAGUGGUUCACUCAGAGAUCAGAUAUUUCAUCCAUCUUUGAACUGGUGAAGGUCGUUCCUCUGAGCCGCGAUCGCCACUGUAAUCACAGGAUGAAGCGGCGUUGUGUUACCGUGGCGUUGCGUUUCCACGGCAGCUCAGCAGUGGAAACCACUUCAUGUUUCACAUAAAAUAAAAAAAAA